AUUGAACGCUGGCGGCAGGCCUAACACAUGCAAGUCGAGCGAGAGGCGGACGGGUGAGUAAUGUCUGGGAAACUUCCCGAUGGAGGGGGAUAACUACUGGAAACGGUAGCUAAUACCGCAUACCAUCGGAUGUGCCCAGAUGGGAUUAGCUUGUGGGGGGGGUAACGGCUCACCUAGGCGACGAUCCCGAGCUGGUCUGAGAGGAUGACCACCCAAACUGGACCGGAGAAACGGUCAAGACUCUUACGGAAGGCAGCAGGGGGGAAUAUUGCACAAUGGGGGCAAGCCUGAUGCAGCCAUGCCGGUGGUAUGAAGAAGGCCUUCGGGUUGUAAAGUACUUUAAGCGAGGAGGCGUUACUCGCAGAAGAAGCAACGGCUAACUACGUGCCAGCAGCCGCGGUAAUAC
rnacentral:rRNA from 1 species